GACGUAGGGGGCAAGCGUUGUUCGGAAUUAUUGGGCGUAAAGCGCUCGUAGGCGGGACAGGAAGUUCGUGUUGAAAGACCUCGGCUCAACUGAGGGACCGGCUCGAAUACUCUUGUUCUUGAGGCAAUCAGGGGCGAGCGGAACAAAUGGUGGAGCGGUGAAAUGCGUAGAUAUCAUUUGGAACGCCAAUGGUGAAAACAGCUCGCUGGGAAUGAUCUGACACUGAGACGCGAAAGCCAGGGGAGCGAACGGG
rnacentral:rRNA from 1 species